rnacentral:rRNA from 1 species
GCAGUCGUACGAGGCAUUGAGGUGCUUGCACUUCAAAGCCGAGUGGCGGACGGGUGUAGAAACACGUGACCAACCUGCCUUCAGGUGGGGGACAACCCGGGGAAACCUGGGCUAACACCGCAUGACAUCUCAUGCUCGCAUGAGCGAGAGAUCAAAGGUGGCCUCUGCUUGCAAGCUACCACCUGAAGAGGGGGUCGCGGCGUAUCAGCUUGUUGGUGAGGUAACGGCUCACCAAGGCUACGACGCGUAGCGGGUCUGAGAGGACGACCCGUCACAUUGGGACUGAGAUACGGCCCAGACUCCUACGGGAGGCAGCAGUGGGGAAUUUUGCGCAAUGGUCGAAAGACUGACGCAGCGACGCCGCGUGUGGGAGGAAGCCCUUCGGGGUGUAAACCACUGUCAGGGGGGAAGAACACUCAUCAUGCGAAUAGUCUGGUGAGCUGACGGUACCCCCAGAGGAAGCGCCGGCUAACUCCGUGCCAGCAGCCGCGGUAAGACGGAGGGCGCAAGCGUUGUUCGGAAUUACUGGGCGUAAAGCGCGGGCAGGUGGUCUGUUAAGUCUUCUGUGAAACUCCGGGGCUCAACUCCGGACAUGCAGAAGAUACUGGCAGACUGGAGUAUGGUAGAGGCAAGCGGAAUUCCUGGUGUAGCGGUGGAAUGCGUAGAUAUCAGGAAGAACACCUGUGGCGAAGGCGGCUUGCUGGGC